GGAGAGGUGGGAGAGUGGCUUAAUCCAGCGGUUUGCUAAACCGCCGUACGGUUGUAAAGCCGUACCGAGGGUUCAAAUCCCUCCCUCUCCG
rnacentral:tRNA from 1 species